UACAGACUGACAUUUGUUUUGUGUGGUGUAGAUCAUUCAAGACUUAGACUCACUCAUGAGACUUCUUUUGUGAGAGAACAUAUAAGUUUCUGGACAACCAUUACUUUCUUCUUUUACGUCGGAUGCUUACUAAGGCAGUUAUUUGUAUAUGUGAGAAGAACCGAGUACUUCACUCUGCGUCAUGGAUUCAUCUCUGCUCAUUUGGCCCUACUGUUAAAGUUCAACUUCCAGAGUUAUAUCUAACGAUCUCUCGAGGACGAUUUCAAGUUGGUAGUUGGAAUAAGGUUA